rnacentral:lncRNA from 1 species
GGAUGAUGAUUAAUGGUUCGAGUUAUGAAAACAUAUAACAAGCUAGUUUGAGGAUAUUUUUAUUCUACCUAGGAUUGCAGAUGGCCAAGAACAGAUAACAAGGAAUAUGAAGUUAAUUUCUCAGUCCUUUUAGACGGAAACUCCAAAGUUGUACGAUUUUGAUGAAGUUUUCCAAGGCAGACGAAUAUUUAUUGCGUAUGUCAUGAAGAAUUAUAUUUUUGUAUCAAAUAACAAUUUCGUCCAUCAUAAAAACCAUUGCACCAAACAAAAUAAAAAUUAAGAAAAAAUCAUAGAAACAUGUUUGGGAAAAUUGAGAGAGAAACCGAGACAAGAACAAACAGAAAAAUAAGCAAAUAUAAUCAGCAUCAUCUUCUUCUUUCAUAAAUGGUCUCGAUCAAACACCAUACCUAAAACAAGCAUCCAUAUGCCAAAAAGCAAAGCUAGCUAUAGCUAGACCGUUUACCAAAUGAUGGAUCAAAGUGACGAAAAAGGAAGAAACGCCAUGUAGACAAAAAAACUAGUAUGAUUUGCUUUGAUCUAGCAAAAUAGUCGGACCGAGAAGCUUGAUUCCCCGAAGAGUUGUUGGAUCAUUGAACAAAAGACCCUCUACUCAUAACAUAUAGUAGCAAAAGACUUGGUUCAAGUGAAUAGUAGGGUUUUCAUGAUCAUCCUGUUAGCAAACUCUUUCUUCUUCUUCUUCUUCUUCUUCUUCUUCUUCUUGGGUUUCUUGUUGUUGUGGUUUUGCUUUUGGCCUUGGGAGAUAUUGAAAAGAGAGAGGGGAUGAUCAUGAUCAUGAGCGAUGGUGGUGGUGUGAGGGUAAUGAUGAUAGUAUUGAAGAGUCAGAGGUGGGAAGGAGAAGGAGGAGGAGGUCAUGAUGAUUGCUCUGUUAAAUUUGGAUGAAAAAAAUUUCAAUGCAUCGCGCGUGCCCUAUCUCCUCACUCUGAUACCCAGAGAAAGAGACUUUGAUGCUUUCUUUCUCUUUCUCUCUCUCUCUCUAUGAGGAGAGAAUUAUAACGAAACACAUGGUGCUAGCCUGUUCUUGUCUCCAGCUCUCGCUCUCAAAGAAAAAGGAAAGCCCCCCCACUCUUUUUCUUAAUUAAUUUGAUUCUUC